rnacentral:rRNA from 1 species
AACGAACGCUGGCGGCAUGCCUAACACAUGCAAGUCGAACGAGACCUUCGGGUCUAGUGGCGCACGGGUGCGUAACGCGUGGGAACCUGCCCUUAGGUUCGGAAUAACUCCCCGAAAGGGGUGCUAAUACCGGAUAAUGUCUUCGGACCAAAGAUUUAUCGCCUUUGGAUGGGCCCGCGUUGGAUUAGCUAGUUGGUAGGGUAAAAGCCUACCAAUGCGACGAUCCAUAGCUGGUCUGAGAGGAUGAUCAGCCACACUGGGACUGAGACACGGCCCAGACUCCUACGGGAGGCAGCAGUGGGGAAUAUUGGACGAUGGGCGAAAGCCUGAUCCAGCAAUGCCGCGUGAGUGAUGAAGGCCUUAGGGUUGUAAAGCUCUUUUACCCGGGAUGAUAAUGACAGUACCGGGAGAAUAAGCUCCGGCUAACUCCGUG